rnacentral:other from 1 species
AGUUUCCGGGGAUGUUCGAUAUCCUGUAUAUUUUGAACCUACAUUUCAAAUAUGGGAGUCCUACAAGAAAAAAACCUAUGUCGGGCCGCAACUUAAUUCCCUUUGGGCAGCGGAUGGCAGAAUUUUAUCUGCGGACACCCACCUAGCUUAGGCUAGGUGUCAAAAUGCAGGGACGGCAUCCUGGGAUUAAU